UAAGGAAUAUUGGUCAAUGGGCGCAAGCCUGAACCAGCCAUGCCGCGUGCAGGAAGACGGCCCUAUGGGUUGUAAACUGCUUUUGUACGGGAAAAAACCUCCGGUCGUGAACCGGAGCUGAUGGUACCGUAAGAAUAAGCAUCGGCUAACUCCGUGCCAGCAGCCGCGGUAAUACGGAGGAUGCAAGCGUUAUCCGGAUUCAUUGGGUUUAAAGGGUGCGCAGGCGGAACGAUAAGUCAGUGGUGAAAUCCUGCAGCUUAACUGCAGAACUGCCAUUGAUACUGCCGUUCUUGAGUAUAGUUGAAGUGGGCGGAAUGUGUCAUGUAGCGGUGAAAUGCUUAGAUAUGACACAGAACACCGAUCGCGAAGGCAGCUCGCUAAACUAUAACUGACGCUCAUGCACGAAAGCGUGGGGAUCAAACAGG
rnacentral:rRNA from 1 species